CUGCUGCUGCUGCUGCUAGCAUUUCAUCUGCUGAGAAUCACACUCAGUAGCAACAGCCGUCCAAGAUACAGCCCUGCGGGGCUUUGAGUGUUAACGUUGGGUGCAUAGUGAUGAGGCUUUUUUAAAGCCUUGAAACGGGGCCAACUGGUAAUACCUAAGGAACAGUCUCACACUGUCGCCCAGGCUGGAGUGCAAUGGCACAAUCUCGGCUCACUACAACCUCUGCCUCCCAGGUUCAAGCGAUUCUCCUGCCUCAGCCUCCCAUCUUCAAAUAUUUUUGUACCCUUAUCUUAUUUUUUCAGGAACUCCAGUUUCACAAAUAUUAGCCCAAGUGAAAUUGGCCCACAGAUCACUGAUCC
rnacentral:lncRNA from 1 species